AAAGGAAUUGACGGGGGCCCGCACAAGCCGGUGGAGCAUGUGGUUUAAUUUGAAGCAACGCGAAGAACCUUACCAGGUNUUGACAUCCUCUGAAAACCCUAGAGAUAGGGCUUCUCCUUCGGGAGCAGAGUGACAGGUGGUUCAUGGUUGUCGUCAGCUCGUGUCGUGAGAUGUUGGGUUAAGUCCCGCAACGAGCGCAACCCUUGAUCUUAGUUGCCAUCAUUAAGUUGGGCACUCUAAGGUGACUGCCGGUGACAAACCGGAGGAAGGUGGGGAUGACGUCAAAUCAUCAUGCCCCUUAUGACCUGGGCUACACACGUGCUACAAUGGACGGUACAAAGAGCUGCAAGACCGCGAGGUGGAGCUAAUCUCAUAAAACCGUUCUCAGUUCGGAUUGUAGGCUGCAACUCGCCUACAUGAAGCUGGAAUCGNUAGUAAUCGCGGAUCAGCAUGCCGCGGUGAAUACGUUCCCGGGCCUUGUACACACCGCCCGUCACACCACGAGGAGUUUGUAACACCCGAAGUCGGUGGGGUAACCUUUAUGGAGCCAGCCGCCUAAGGUGGGACCAGAUGAUUGGGGUGAAGUCUAC
rnacentral:rRNA from 1 species